CGACUACAUUAGAUACCCGGGUAGUCCUAGCCGUAAACGAUACUCGCUAGGUGUCGGCCACGGUGCGACCGUUGUCGGUGCCGUAGGGAAGCCGUGAAGCGAGCCACCUGGGAAGUACGGCCGCAAGGCUGAAACUUAAAGGAAUUGGCGGGGAGCACCACAACGGGUGGAGCUUGCGGUUUAAUUGGACUCAACGCCGGAAAACUCAUCGGGAGCGACAGCAGUAUGAUUGCCAGGUUGAUGACCUUGCUUGACAAGCUG
rnacentral:rRNA from 1 species